GCCUACGGGGGGCAGCAGUAGGGAAUCUUCCACAAUGGGCGAAAGCCUGAUGGAGCAACGCCGCGUGGGUGAAGAAGGUCUUCGGAUCGUAAAACCCUGUUGUUAGAGAAGAAAGUGCGUGAGAGUAACUGUUCACGUUUCGACGGUAUCUAACCAGAAAGCCACGGCUAACUACGUGCCAGCAGCCGCGGUAAUACGUAGGUGGCAAGCGUUAUCCGGGUUUAUUGGGCGUAAAGGGAACGCAGGCGGUCUUUUAAGUCUGAUGUGAAAGACUUCGGCUUAACCGGAGUAGUGCAUUGGAAACU
rnacentral:rRNA from 1 species